rnacentral:rRNA from 1 species
UGGGGAAUUUUGGGCAAUGGGCGAAAGCCUGACCCAGCAACGCCGCGUGAAGGAUGAAGUAUUUCGGUAUGUAAACUUCGAAAGAAUAGGAAGAAUAAAUGACGGCACUAUUUAUAAGGUCCGGCUAACUACGUGCCAGCAGCCGCGGUAAUACGUAGGGACCAAGCGUUGUUCGGAUUUACUGGGCGUAAAGGGCGCGUAGGCGGCAUGACAAGUCACUUGUGAAAUCUCUGGGCUUAACCCAGAACGGCCAAGUGAUACUGUCGCGCUAGAGUGCAGAAGGGGCAAUCGGAAUUCUUGGUGUAGCGGUGAAAUGCGUAGAUAUCAAGAGGAACACCUGAGGUGAAGACGGGUUGCUGGGCUGACACUGACGCUGAGGCGCGAAAGCCAGGGGAGCAAACGGGAUUAGAUACCCCGGUAGUCCCUGAGCGGGCUGGCAAGGCGCAU